UCCUCUCUACUUAAGCCUGCACGAAUCAACGAGUCUUUUUUAGAGCAUAUAUCCUUGCACAUUCGGAAUUAGUAAUGGUACUUCAUCUUCAGGACUUACGUUAGAAGAAGCUCUCUAUUAUUCUUUUCACUUUUCUUACAAUUUACCGUUAAUUUCUAAAAAAAAAUUCUGUCGUUAACAUAUAUCGGUAUCAUCGUACGAUAUUAUCUCAUCAUAAAAGAACGGAACGACGAUAACAAGCAGAUACUUUCUGACCACCGCUUGAGGG